GUAGUGCAUGCCUAGUACGGCGAGUGAAGAGGCAAAAGCUCAAGUUUGGAAGCUCAAUGGUUUAACCAUUGCGCAUUGUAAACUGAAAACAGGAUCAAUCAGGUACACCGGGUGAUAAGUUCCUUGGAAUAGGACAUCAUGGAGGGUGAGAAUCCCGUCUUUGACCCGAGUCUAGUAUCUUUUGUAUUGGCCUGUUCAAGAGUCAGGUUGUUUGGGAAUGCAGCCUAAAGCUGGAGGUAAAUCCCUCCUGAAGCUAAAUAAUGGCGAGAGACCGAUAGCGAACAAGUACCGUGAGGGAAAGAUGAAAAGAACUCUGAAGAGAGAGUUAAACAGUACGUGAAAUUGCUUAAAGGGAAGCAUAUAAAGCUAGGAUGCGAUUGUUUUCUUCAGGUUGAGCUUUGGCUUGACUGUUCAGAAGGAUAAUCCAAGACAACAAGAAUUGGAGGAGGAGAAUAAGCCAUUGGGGAAGGUAAUCCUUCGGGAUGUUUAUAGACCUGAUGGUUCGCGCUCUUCUUUCGAUUGAGGUACGCUUUUUUUAAAGGUUGUUGUCUGAAUGGCUUUAUAUGGCCCGUCAAAAAAACCGGGGACCAAA
rnacentral:rRNA from 1 species